rnacentral:rRNA from 1 species
GAUGAACGCUAGCGACAGGCCUAACACAUGCAAGUCGAGGGGCAUCGGGGCGUAGCAAUACGCUGCCGGCGACCGGCGGAUGGGUGAGUAACGCGUAUGCAACCUGCCUUCAGCAGGGGGAUAGCCCGUUGAAAGACGGAUUAAUACCCCGUAACACAGGGGCUCCGCAUGGAGAUUAUUGUUAAAGGGAUACUUCCUUCGGGGGGUAUUCCGGCUGAAGAUGGGCAUGCGUUCCAUUAGGUAGUUGGUUGAGGUAACGGCUCACCAAGCCUACGAUGGAUAGGGGAACUGAGAGGUUGGUCCCCCACACUGGUACUGAGACACGGACCAGACUCCUACGGGAGGCAGCAGUGAGGAAUCUUGGUCAAUGGACGGAAGUCUGAACCAGCCAUGUCGCGUGAAGGAGGACGGCCCUAAGGGUUGUAAACUUCUUUUGCAGCGGAAUAAAGUAUUCCACGAGAUGGGAUAUUGACAAGUACGCUGCGAAUAAGGAUCGGCUAACUCCGUGCC